AUUGAACGCUGGCGGCAGGCUUAACACAUGCAAGUCGAGCGAGCGGCGGACGGGUGAGUAAUGUCUGGGAAACUGCCUGCUGGAGGGGGAUAACUACUGGAAACGGUAGCUAAUACCGCAUACCAUCAGAUGUGCCCAGAUGGGAUUAGCUAGUAGGUGGGGUAAUGGCUCACCUAGGCGACGAUCCCUAGCUGGUCUGAGAGGAUGACCAGCCACACUGUAACUGAUACACGGUCCAGACUCGUACGGGAGGCAGCAGUGGGGAAUAGUGCACAAUGGGCGCAAGCCCGAUGCAGCCAUGCCGCGUGUGUGAGGAAGGCCUGCGGGUUGUAGAGCACUUUCAGCGAGGAGGCGAUACUCGCAGAAGAAGCACCGGCUAAGUCCGAGCCAGCAGCCGCGGUAAUAC
rnacentral:rRNA from 1 species